rnacentral:rRNA from 1 species
GAAUAAGCUACACAGAGUACGAGGUGGAUGCCUUGGCGCUGAAAGCCGAUGAAGGACGCGGAGACCGGCGAAACAUUCAAGGGGAGCUGCAUACAAGCGAUGAGCCUUGAGUAUCCGAAUGGGGCAACCCCUCCAGAGUGAUGUCUGGAGACGCCAUGAUGAACACAUAGUCAUGUGCGAGGGCAGUGGGCGAACUGAAACAUCUCAGUAGCCCGACCAAGAGAAAUCAACCGAGAGGCCCGUAGUAGUGGCGAGCGAACCGGGCAGCAAGCCUAAACCAGUGAUACUUCGGUAUUGCUGGGGUUGUAGGACCAGCAUAUCGUCAUCUCAUGAACCACUUAAACACGUCUGGAAAGCGUGACCACAGAGCGUGAGAGUCGCGUAGAGAUACGUUUGUCGAGAGACGGCUGGGAUCCUGAGUACCACGAGACACGUGAAAUCUUGUGGGAAGCAGGGGGGACCACCCUCCAAGGCUAGCUCCUUUCAGCGACCGAUAGUGAACCAGUACCGUGAGGGAAAGGUGAAAAGCACCCCGAGAGGGGGAUGAAAGAGACCCUGAAACCACGUACUCACCAGCAGUCAGAGGUCACUGUCCCGUUGCGGGACCAAGGACUAAUGGCGUGCCUUUUGUAGAAUGAUCCGGCGAGUGCAUCGUCGUCGUCUGGUUAACCAGCGCUAAAGCUGGGCAGCCGGAGGGCAACCGAGUCUGAACAAGGCGUGUGAUGGCGGCGAUGCGACCCGAAACCAUGUGAGCUACCCAUGACCAGAGUGAAGCGAAGGUGAAACUUCGUCGAGGCUCGCACCCACCAGUGUUGCAAAACUGGGGGAGGAGUUGUGGGUAGGGGUGAAAUGCCAAUCGAACAUGGAGAUAGCUGGUUCUCCCCGAAAUGUAUUGAGGUACAGCCACAGGGUGUGACUCUGUUGGAGGUAGAGCGCUGGUUGGGCUAGGGGCCGUUGCUUCGGUUACCAACCCCAGUCAAACUGCGAAUACUAACAGAGAUGACCUGUGAGUGAGACGGCGGGGGCUAAGCUUCGCGCGUCAAAAGGGAAACAGCCCAGACCUUCGGCUAAGGUCUCUAAAGAGCAACUCAGUGUCAAAGGGAGUCUGUGCGCCCAAACAGCCAGGAUGUUGGCUUAGAAGCAGCCAUCAUUGAAAGAGUGCGUAAUAGCUCACUGGUCGAGUGCACGGGCACCGACAACGUAUCGAGGCUCAAGUUGCUUACCGAAGCCAAGGAUUCAUGCACUUUGUGUAUGAAUGGUAGGGGAGCGUUCUCUGUGCCUGUGAAGCCAGAUCGUAAGGACUGGUGGAGGCAAGAGAAGUGAGAAUGCCGGAAUGAGUAGCGUCAUCGCGGUGCAAACCCGCGACACCGAAAGCCCAAGGGUUCCUGGGCCACGUCAAUCGUCCCAGGGUCAGUCGGGUCCUAAGCCGAGGACGUUAUAGUCGUAGGCGAUGGCAAGCAGGCAAGGAUAUUCCUGCACCGCAGAGUAUCGUUAUGAGCAAUGGGGGGACGCGGUAGGGAAGGUGAGCUGAUCGAAUGGACAGGAUCAGUGUGUCUCAUGAAGUGCGAAACCGAGGCAAAUCCCGGUUUCCUGUGCAUGACAGAGGCACCGAGCGCGAGCAAUCGCGCGGUAGUCAUCGGCACCCACGCCGCCAAGAAAAGCCUCUCGCCAGAUACAUCUGCGCCCGUACCGCAAACCGACACUGGUGGGCAAAGAGAAAUCUCUUCAGGUGAACGAGCGACCCUCUGUCAAGGAACUCGGCAAAUUAACCCCGUACCUUUGGAAGAAGGGGGACCCUAGUAGCAACUCUCGUGUAAAGCGAGGGGGGUGAGGGGGUAGCAUAAAAUAGGCUCAACCGACUGUUUACCAAAAACACAGGUCUCUGCGAACGCGAAAGCGGAAGUAUAGGGGCUGACUCCUGCCCAGUGCCGGAAGGUUACGAGGAGCGGUGUGCGUAGCUGCGAAUCUAAGCCCCGGUGAACGGCGGCCGUAACUAUAACGGUCCUAAGGUAGCGAAAUUCCUUGUCGGGUAAGUUCCGACCCGCACGAAAGGAGUAACGAGUUGAGCACUGUCUCGACAGAGGACUCGGCGAAAUUGAAGUACCCGUGAAGAUACGGGUUACCCACGACAGGACAAAAAGACCCCGUGGAGCUUUACUACAGUUUGGCCUGGAGACGAGGCAAGAUGUGCGUAGGAUAGGUGGGAGUCGGCGAACCUUUCUUCUUGGAGGAAGGGGAGACAGCAGUGAAAUACCACUCUCAUCGUGUUUUGUGUCUCACGCGCAGCCGUGAUCCGGUGCGCGGACAGGGCCAGAUGGGUAGUUUGACUGGGGCGGUCGCCUCCUAAAGAGUAACGGAGGCGCUCAAAGGUUCCCUCAGGGUGAAUGGCAACCACCCGCAAAGAGUGUAAAGGCACAAGGGAGCUUGACUGUGAGGCAAACAAGCCGAGCAGGGACGAAAGUCGGACUUAGUGAUCCCACAUUCCCGAGUGGAAGGAGUGUGGCUCAACGGAUAAAAGCUACCCCGGGGAUAACAGGCUUAUCUUGCCCAAGAGUUCACAUCGACGGCAAGGUUUGGCACCUCGAUGUCGGCUCGUCGCAUCCUGGGGCGGAAGUACGUCCCAAGGGUUGGGCUGUUCGCCCAUGAAAGCGGCACGCGAGCUGGGUUCAGAACGUCGCGAGACAGUUCGGUCUCUCUCCGUCGUGGGCAUAGGACGAUUGAGGGCAGUCAUCUUCAGUACGAGAGGACCGAGAUGGCUCGACCGCUGGUGUACCAGUUGGGGGGCCUCCCCCAUCGCUGGGUAGCUACGUCGAGAAAGGAGAAGCGCUGAAAGCAUCUAAGCGCGAAGCCGCUCCCAAGAUGAGUCGUCCCACUCUUAAUGAGUCAAGAUCCCAGGAAGACGACCUGGUUGAUAGACGGCAAGUGCACACUUGGUAACAGGUGAGCUGAGCCGCCCUAAUGAUCGUACGGCUUAUU